UUUUCAGGGACACACUCAAGAGGGUUUUGAACUUACCACAAAAUACAAUCAUGGAGUACAAGGCACAUCAGAGCAGCUUAAAGGAUAACUCAAGUUUUCGAAAUACGGAUGUCUUCAUGAGAUGAACUGCCAUACAAGCUUCUUAAUGCAAAUAAAAUGCUCAGACCAGCUACUUGUCA